rnacentral:rRNA from 1 species
GGGUGCGAUCAUACCGGCGUUAAUGCAACGGAUCCCAUUAGAAAAAUGCAGUUAAGUGCUCUUGGUCUAGAGUAGUAUUGGUAUGGGUGACCUCCCAAGAAGUCCUAGUGUUGCACCCU